rnacentral:lncRNA from 1 species
CAGGGGCCGAGACCUAGCUGGGCUUGGGGCGGGGCCGAGACGGAGCGAGGGGUCCAGGGCGUGGGAAACGGGGAGGGGUUUGAGGAGGGGAUCGGAAUGUGGCUCAAGUUCGGGAGGCGUUACCUGCGGAGGGUUUGAGGCAGGUCCAGGAGCGAGCCCACGGUCCGCCGACGCGGGACCAGGGGCGGGCCCCAGGAUCCGGAGCUUCGGGCGGGGCCGAGUCCGGGUUUGGGGCCCGGAAGGCGGGGCCAGUUAGGGCGAGGGUCCCUGGGAUCGUCAGGUCAGGCCUUGGGCUAACGUAGGCACUCUCGCAGUUCCUCCGCCUUCAGGAAAGUCUUUUUAGCAGGGGCCUUACGGGUUCGCGCUUUGGUCCUGGAGGCCUUAUCCUAGCCUCCUCUGUAUCAGCGCCACCAGUCUGGGGCCCGAAAGGAGGGAGCUUUCCCUCUGUCCCCCAGCCUUUGGACUGUCACCAAACAAGCCAUUCGUUCACCAAAUACUUAUUAAGCGCCUACCAUGUGCCUGACAAGGGAGAUGUAACGGUGAGAAAAACUAGGUGUGGUCCAUGUCCUCCAGGGGCUCAGGGGCUCGUGGAAGAAGUGGACAUUGAAGUAUUUAUCACACAAAUGAGUAUAAAAGUACAAUAGCGAUAUCUGCCACGAAGCUGUUGUUCCCCACCAGAACCAAAUGAGCGCAAGAUCUGACAAAGAAAAAAAGAAGUUCAUCUUUUAUUCCCCCAAACCCUUUCAUUUAAAUCAAGAGGGUGGGAUGUGGUUAUUGCUGUGUUUUUAGGCAGAAUCAACGGUUUCUGGGUCUGAGAAGUUGCAUACACACUCUCAGUCCCUGUAUCCUGAGAUGGAGUCACCUGAGGAUCCACAGCAAGUCCUAACCAGGGAUGGGUCUGGGUGAUUAAGGAAGGUUGGCUUCAGAACUGGGCCAGAGGCACUGCUUUGCUUUUGCUGUUUUGAUCAGCUCUGUGCCUGCAUGAGACAAGGAAAAUCAAUGGGAACAGCUGGGGAAACUGAGUUACAGAGCUUUUCUGCACUGAGUCAUCAGGAGCAAAUGCUAGAUCAGAUAGAGUCUCUCUCUCUGCCACCCAGGCCAGAGUGCAGUUGACGCAGGGCAGGGGAGCCCCGAAGUGGAGCAUAGUGUGUCCGGAACUGGUGGGUUCUUGGUCUCCCUGACUUCAAGAAUGAAGCCACGGACCCUCGGGAAAUGAGGCUUCUCCCCAGGACCAGCAUUCCACGAAGGCAGCCCUUUUCUAGAUGGAGAAAACAGAACCUGAAGACACCCGUUUCCCUAAACUGCUCUCGCUCAUGUUUCUACAAGGCCUGGAGCUGAUAGGAAAAACCUCCCUUCUUUCCCAAAUGGUCCCCAGCUGCCCCGUUCACUGAAGGCCCUGCAGUCAGGAACGGUCAGGACUUCACACCCAGUUGUUGUGGGUGUUUGGCCGACACGACACUUCCUCUUGUGUGAUUCAUGGACCCGCAGCAUUGCGUCACCUGGGAGCUUUUGGUAUUGAAGACUCUCAGGGCUCACCCGGAAGGACCUGCUGGGCCAGAAUCUACAUUUUAACAAGAUGCCCAGGUGAUUUGCAUACACGUUCAGAUCUGAGAAGCGCUAGUAGAAACUCCUGGAGGGCAGAGGCAUGCCUGCCAUCUUCAUCAUUGCAUUACCACCACCCAACACUAUCGGGGGACCUGCCCUGAUAAUCAGGUAGGUUCUUUUCUAUUUUCCUAAGCGUCGACUGGCUUGAGAAAUAAAAGGACAGAGUACAAAAGAGAGAAAUUUUAAAGUUGGGUAUCCGGGGGAGACAACACACAUUGGUAGGAUCCGUGAUGCCCCACAAGCCACAAAAACCAGCAAGUUUUCAUUAGGGAGUUUCAAAAGGGGAGAGAGUAUAUGAAUAGGAGUGGGUGACAGACAUCAAGUACUUAACAGGGUAAUAGAAUAUCACAAGGCAAGUGGAGACAGGGUGAGAUCACAGGACCACAGGAUGGAAGUGAAAUUAAAAUUGCUAAUAAAGUUUUGGCACCAUUGUCAUUGAUAACAUCUUAUGAGGAGACAGGGUUUUGAGAUCAACCCGUCUGACCAAAGUUUAUUAGGUGGGAAUUUUCUCUUCCUAAUAAGCCUGGGAGUGCUGUGGGAGACUGGAGUUUAUUUCACCUCUGCAAUCUCGACCAUAAGUGACAGGUAAGCCCCGGGGGGCCAGUUCAGAGACCUACCCCUAGGUGCGCAUUCUCUUUCUCAGGGACGUUCCAUGCUGAGAAAAGGAAUUCAGUGAUAUUUCUCCCAUUUGCUUUUGAAAGAAGAGAAAUAUGGUUCUGUUCUGCCUGGCUCACCAGCGGUCAGAGUUUAAGGUUAUCUCUCUAAUUCCCUGAACAAUUGCUGUUAUCCUGUUCUUUUUUCAGGGUGCCCACAUUUCAUAUUGCUCAAACACACAUGAUGUACAAUUUGUGUACUUAACGCAAUUAUUACAGGUCCUGAGACGAUAUACAUCCUUCUCGACUGACAGGAUUAAGAGAUUAAAGUAAUGACAGGCAUAGGAAAUCACAAGGGUAUUGAUUGGGGAAGUGAUAAGUGUCCAUGAAAUCUUCACAAUUUAUGUUUAGAGAUUGCAGUAAAGACAGGCAUAAGAAAUUACAAAAGUAUUAAUUUGGGGAACUAAUAAAUGUCCAUAAAAUCUUCAUAAUCCACGUUCUUCUGUCAUGGCUUCAGCCGGUCCCUCUGUUUGGGGUCCCGACUUCCCGCAACAUCUCUCCCUUUCUUUUUAUAUAAAUGUGCCAUGGCGAUGAAGGCUUGUUCAUUCUCUCGAUUUUGACACAGGAUUAUUUGACUGGUACGGCACACUAAAAGCAAGCCGAUGAAGCAGAGAAACAUAAUUCCAGAAUUUACUACAGUGGAGCCCCCAAUAGACUUAAUCCAAGUUCUGGGGUUUAAUCCAUAAAGAUUUUCUGCCACCU